UCCAACAGUGGUCAGCUGUCUGAACAGAACCCUUCCGAGACAGUGUUACACUGCUAGGAGAGCAGCAUCUUGUCUUCUUCAUCUGGUUGCUUCCUACACUGUUCUGGUGGCAUCUGGCACUGGUGCAGGGCAGAACUCUCCUUCCUUGAGAGUGUGCUAAGCAUUCACUUCAGCUGCUUAGUUCUGUCUGGGAGCAGACACA
rnacentral:snoRNA from 1 species